rnacentral:rRNA from 1 species
AGAUCAUCAUUGGGCUUAAAGCGUGCGCAGGCGGUUUUGUAAGACAGAGGUGAAAUCCCCGGGCUCAACCUGGGAACUGCCUUUGUGACUGCAAGGCUGGAGUGCGGCAGAGGGGGAUGGAAUUCCGCGUGUAGCAGUGAAAUGCGUAGAUAUGCGGAGGAACACCGAUGGCGAAGGCAAUCCCCUAGGGCCUGCACUGACGCUCAUGCACGAAAGCGUGGGGAGCAAACA